rnacentral:lncRNA from 1 species
UGUGGCCUCCCCAUUCCUUUGUUUCUUCUUCUUUUAUUAAUAAAGGUUUUCCCAAUGACUGACCAAACAGCCGACACACUUCUUGAGCUUUCUGCCGUGUGUUUCCAACAGCAGCGACACACACUCUACGGCGAAGGCUGUCUAUGGCUUCUGGCGUGUGGUAGAAAUGAGGUGGGCUGAUGGUAACAGAAGACCCUAACUUUUCAGUAAGUAGAUUGCAAACAUUCUGCAUUUUUCCAAAAUCAGUGAAUAUAAUACAGACCUCUGCUUCCAUCUGGUAAGUGUCCUCUACUCUGCUAAAAUCCUCUGUUACAGUCAUAUUUUCUUCCGGGACGCCGCGCUGCCGGGCGCUCUGCGCGAUGUACUCCAGCCUGCGGGACACGCUGCUCCGCGCCGCGCCGGCCACCCCUUUCCGGCUGCCCAGCCGCAGCGACACCCGCGCACGGUCCGGGACGGCGCUCAGCUCCGCGCUGCCGCUCACGUGGACUUCCCGGCCGGACGGCGCCGGGAGGCCGCCGCCGCCACCCGCCGGGACCGGGGCUGGGACUGAGGCUGGAGCUGGAACAGGGCAGAGCUCGGCGAAGACGCGCGCGGGAGGCGGCGCCGGCAGCGCCAUCCAGGCGAGCCCCUCGCGGCACCAUAGCAACCAGCGCGCCCGCUGCACCCUGGGCGGCGCCGGACGUGACGCCCCAGCGCCAUCGCUGCGGUCGCUGCCGAACUCUCGCGAGAGCUGCAGAGCGUCCCGCCGUGUCCGGUCCGGCGGCGGUCGCUCGUUCGCCGGCCGCUGGAGCGGGUUCCGCCAUGACAGCUGGCCAGGCGGUGGUGGAGGGUGCGAAUCCUCUGAGGGAAAGCUGCUCUGUUUCUGUCGUUUUUCACCUCGUAUUAUAUAUUUGCAGUAUAUUAGGGCCCGCAGUAGAGCAACCUGAGGGGUACGUGCCAUGAGAAAGAGCUCUAGGGUCGACCUCUUUUUGGUUGACCCUCUCUGUACAGGGAAGCCUGGGUUGUGAAGUGCUGUCGUGGCUCUUCUGUCACAAGCCAGCCCUACCUCCUGCUGCUGUUUCUUUGUGGAGGGGUCUUGUGUUGGCUUUGCAAAGUUUUGUUAAGUGCCACCUUUUCCUGGGGAGGGGCACAGGGGUGCACUUCUGCAUAACAGAGUGAUGGGACUGUUGAGGAUGGAAGGGACCUCUUGAGGUAGUGCCAAGUUCUGUGCUCAGGCAGGAAUACCUACAGCAGAACCGUGUCCAGUCAAGUUUUAAUUCAGCAACCUCUCUGGCUAAUGCAUGCCAGCAUUUCUUGAAGUUCAGAGGAAACCUCCUAUGUUUCAGUUUGUGUCCAUUCUUUCCUGUCCUGCCACUGGGCACCACUGACAGGAGCCUGGCUCUGUGCUCUUUGCACCCUCCCUUCAGACAUUUGCAGACAUUGAUAAGUACCCUGUGAGCCUCCUCUUCUCUAAUCUGAGCAGUUUCAGCUCUCUCAACCUCAUGUGUCACUUCAUCAUGUUUGUGACCCUGUGCUGGACUCGUUCUAGUUAAGUCCGUAUAUUUCUUGUACUGGAGAGCAGAGAGCUGAACCCAGGUGUGGCCUCACUAAUGCUGAAUAGAGAAGGAUAACCUCCCUUGAUCUGCUAGCAAUGCUCUUCCUAAUGCAGCCCAUGAGGUCUGAGUCAGCCCUCAGCAUGCACUGGGUUAUUUCUCCCUAGAUGUGGAAUUUCCCCUUGCUGAACAUCAUGCAGUUCCUCUCAACCCAGUUCUCCAGACUAACCAAAUGACUAUGAAAUAAUCUGCUCAGUAGGUGAAUGGGGAGCAGUGGAUGUGUUCAUUGUGACUUUAACAAAUUUUUCAAAACUGUAUAACUGACGAAGUUCAGACAAGGUAGGUGGACCAGUGAUGCAAACCAAAAACAGGCUGAGCUUCCAUGCUCAGAGAGCUGUGAUCAGCAGCACAAAAUUCAUCUUGAGACCAGUCACCAGCAGGGUACUCCAGGGACUGAAGCCAGUACUAUGCAGCAUCUUUAUUUAUAAUCUGGUGAUGGGAAACAGGGCACCCUCAGCAAGUUUGCUGGAGUUACAAACCUGGGAGAAGUGGCUGAUAGACCAGAGUGGUGAACUGCCAGGCAGAGAUAUUUGGACAAGCUGAAGUGGACUGACAGGAACCUCUUGUAGUUCAACAAGGGCUAAUGGCAACUGUUGCAACUGAGGAGGAAUAAUCAGUACAGUCUGGAGCUGGAUGGCUGAAAAGCAUCUUUACAGGAAAGGAUAUGGAGGUGCUGGUGGACAUCAAGGUGAACAUAAGCCAAUGUUGUGCCCUUGAAGCAAAGAAGACCCAACAGUAUCCCAGGCUGUUUUAGGAAAAGCAUUUCCACUAUGCUGAGGAGGGUAAUCCACAGAAUGUUGUUGAACUACAGUCUCAAUCUCCUGUAGGCUUUCCAUAUCUUAACUAAUGUUCACUCAAGGCAGAUGCCAAAAAAAGUGAAGAUACUUGUUGAAAUCCUAAAAUUCAAGUCUAUUUUAAUAAAUUCAAAUUAUUUUAAUGAGCUAACCCCCACAUUCCACAGGCAUCUCCAGCUGGCAUUCGCCUGUAUGUCUGGUCUCAUUUGUUACAGAAUUUCUGAGGAGAGCUGCAGUAUGUUGUUACUGUGUACAGAUGUGAUACAUUGUAUUUUGAUUACUUUAAAUCUAGGAAUAUGGCACAGAAGCUGAAAGCUAACAAUGCUGUAUGUUUGUAAAAGGUCUUGUAACCUUCAGAAUUUGUGUCAGAAUAUCUGCCUGAUAUGAUACAGAUAAAUAUUGCUAUACUCUCCUAGAUGGAAACAUGUCAUGUAAAGACAUCGAGACCUGAUUUUACAAGUCAGAUGCAGGUUCAUUGGAAGUGGCAGGAAAGGAAAUAUGAAGGGAAUUGAAGUUCUAUCUCUCUCUCUUUUUCUUUUCCUUAUUAAUCUUGAUGCAGUAUAUACCUCAUGUCCUGUCAUUAGAGAGAUUCUAUACAGAUUGCCUUUCCCAUUGUUAAUAUCACAUCUGCCUUAAGAAGUGUCAGUGUCUUUUGCAUGCCUCAUGACUUUUGGAGUCUUCUUCCCUUUAAUUCAGUUUUCUCUUCAGACUUGCUGAACACUUGAAGCUUCAGAUGAAAUAGAUUGAACCUGUUAGGUAUUCAUUAUCUCUGGAGAUGAUGUUCCAUGUUUCUCAGCAUGAAUAACGGAAAGUAGAGACACCUAUAAGUUUGAGUGUAACUGACUUUGAUCAAAAUUAUAUGACAAGGAAGACAAGGAAGAAACUUGUAACAGAAUCCAAAAUAUUGGUGCCUAGUCACUUAUAAAAAUCAAUUCCAGAGCUGAUGUGAAAAAAGGCUGUCUUUAAGAAGGGAAAUAUAAAAGGAAAAUGAGUACAGAGGACAUUAUAAAUGUACAUUCAAUGUGUAUUCCUCAGAAUAAAUUAUUUCAUUGAAUUAAAAGGGAAUUAAAAUUGUUUUUGAAAAUAUUCCUUCCUUCCUUCCUUCCUUCCUUCCUUCCUUCCUUCCUUCCUUCCUUCCUUCCUUCCUUCCUUCCUUCCUUCCUUCCUUCCUUCCUUCCUUCCUUC